rnacentral:misc_RNA from 1 species
GAUGAAGAACGUAGCGAAAUGCGAUAAGUAAUGUGAAUUGCAGAAUUCAGUGAAUCAUCGAAUCUUUGAACGCACAUUGCGCCCCUUGGUAUUCCGAGGGGCAUGCCUGUUCGAGCGUCAUUAUAACCCCUCAAGCUCAGCUUGGUGUUGGGGCCUGCUGCACUGGCAGCCCUUAAAAUCAGUGGCGGCGCCAUCUGGCUCUAAGCGUAGUAAUUCUUCUCGCUGCUGGGCCCCGGUGGCCGCUUGCCAGCAACCCCAAACUUUCUAUGGUUGACCUCGGAUCAGGUAGGGAUACCCGCUGAACUUAAGCAUAUCAAUAAGCGGAGA